UACGUAGGGUGCAAGCGUUGUUCGGAAUCACUGGGCGUAAAGCGCGCGUAGGCGGCGUUCCAAGUCGGAUGUGAAAUCCCCGGGCUCAACCCGGGAACUGCGUCCGAUACUGGAAGGCUUGAAUCCGGGAGAGGGAUGUGGAAUUCCAGGUGUAGCGGUGAAAUGCGUAGAUAUCUGGAGGAACACCGGUGGCGAAGGCGACAUCCUGGACCGGUAUUGACGCUGAGGCGCGAAAGCCAGGGGAGCAAACGGG
rnacentral:rRNA from 1 species